AAUGAACGCUGGCGGCGUGCCUAACACAUGCAAGUCGGAUGUGCCCGCAAGGGUGCAUGGCAGACGGGUGAGUAACGCGUGGGGAACCUACCUCUUUGUGGGGAAUAACGUUCCGAAAGGAAUGGUAAUACCGCAUGAGACCAUCGGCUGGGAUGCUGGUGGUGAAACCCGGGGACCGCAAGGCCUGGGGCAAGGAGAGGGUCCUGCGUCUGAUUAGCUAGUUGGCGGGGUAACGGCCCACCAAGGCGUCGAUCAGUAGCCGGCCUGAGAGGGUGAUCGGCCACACUGGAACUGAGACACGGUCCAGACUCCUACGGGUGGCAG
rnacentral:rRNA from 1 species